UUGAAAAAUUAUAGGCUAUACAUCACCUAAAGUCAGUCAUUUACACCUGCAGCUGAGCCAGAGUGCAUUGUGAACCUUCAUUUUCCAAGGGUGAAUUCUUUAGGGAUAUCAAUUUUAAUUUAUCUGUAAAAGUCAAUCCCCCCUUUAACUCCAACUUCCGGAGACUCUCUUGCUCACCCCACCCCGAACCUCAGUGGACACAUUCUCUGUCUGACAACUCUAAGUUUGUUAGAUGCGGGAUUUAUGGGUGGUUAAAAGAGAUGGCAGUUUUCAAACUCUACCCAGUGCAGGUGGGAAUAAAGGAGAUAGAGACGAAGCACCCUCAGAAGGACCGCCGUCCAGUGGGACUGCUUUGCUAGUGGCUUCCUGGUCUCCCCUUCUCUCCCUGCCCACCCCAAGGGGAGCAAGACCUUCCUCUCCCCUGUUUCUGCUGUGGUGUCCCUCAGGUGACAUCUGUGUCACAGUAUCUGUCACGUUGGUAGUGAUACCUUAGCAAUAGGAUUCCUCCACAAAGAAGCAACUAGAACUUUUCAAGGGUGGUAAUUGUUUUUUUGCUUUUUUUUUUAUAAUAAGCAAAACAUUAUUUUUCUUUAUAUUGUUUUCCAGGUUUUGUUUAGACAUAUUUAUGUUAGAAGAGAAUGUAUCAAGGUUUGUUGAUGCAGAGAACAAAGAGCUAAAGACAGCUGGACUGUACCUAUCUUUUUGUAUAGUAUUUCCAGGUAAAGAAGUUAAACCAAGACUGCAUUAACUCAAUAACAAUGCUUAAGAUGAUAGACUCCACAUUAUAUAUCAUAAGUGAGCAGCCUACUUCCGUUUAUGUAAUUUAAAAUGUAAUAUUUACAUUAUUUAAUAUACUUCUAUUUUUUUGCACUUCCAAGUUUUCGUUGGAAAAUAAAAACCAAACCAUAGCCUAAAAAGUACUUAAAAAUCCACAUAAAAAUAUUUCCUAUUAGCUACAAGUUACCCAUGUGUAAGACUGUGUAAAUAGUCUGGCCAUUUCAUAUUCUCUACAUUUCAAAAGUAAAUGAAUCAAAGAACAGGGUUACUUAUUUAAAAUGCAUUAAGAUAAAGACAUUUCAUGCUCAACUGCUGUCAAAGUAGAAUAAUGCAGUUCAACACAUAAGCAAACCAGGAAGAAGGAGGUUUUGUGACCCUUAGUGUUUGAUUGUAGUGUUGCUCACACAGCUUAGCCAUUUCUACAAUCUGAGUACUACCUGCAUAUGCAGCUGAAGGUUGCUAACAGUGCUGGUAGCUCGUUCUGUAAUAGGUUUGGGGAUUAUAACACUCACAGCCUUGUGAGUUCUAUCUUAUAUACUGAAGAUGACCAAUACAUUGGAGUAAUAUAUUUAUCUAGAGCUGGUAAAUAUGAAAAUUAUUUUCAAACCAUCGAUUAAAUGAGGUUGACUUUUUUCUUCGGGUGGGAUAAAGGUCACUUGUAUAAACAAAUCUCUAUUUGUAUAACAGCUUUCUCCUACUGGUGUUAUUAAUUUUCAUACUACAGCCUUUCUUACCUUUUUAUACCAAAAGAGUCGUCGUGCUGCUUAUUCAAGCUUGCCAAGAUGUGUUUGAGUCUGAAGACUCUUGGCAGGCAAAAAUACUUAAUAACAAGCAGAUACAGAAGCUUUGUAUAGUUUGUGGCUUUAGGGGAAAGAGUUGUACUUUUGAUUUUCUCUGACGUCAGCAUUGUCCCAUGACAGUAUUACUUAGAACGGCUGUAUAAAUCAGUCCCCUUAUUUAUUAUGCUGUGAAAUGUACUCUUUAUACAGAAUACGUAGUCUAGCUCCUUUCCUUUUUACUGCUGUUGCCUGGAGUGUGAUGGCUCUGUUAAUGGUUGACUUAUAUACUUGAAAUGCUCAUUUCUGUGAAACAGACGCCCAGUGUACUCCUUCUUUAAAAAAAAG
rnacentral:lncRNA from 1 species